CUUUAAAUUGAUAUUUCUCUCUCUCUCUCUCUCUCUCUCUCUCUCUCUCUCACACACACACACACACACAUUUUCAAUAUUGAGACUUUCCGAACAACGAACAACUCUAUUAGACUUGAUUUAAAAUAUUUAAAAUUUUUAAAAAAUAAGUUUCGCAAUUUUUUGAUAUUAUUUGUGUAGUGAUCAAAAUAGCUUAAAAUCAAUGAUUGAAAAUAAAUCUCACAAAAUGUGACAAUACGACACUAAAAUUUUAGAUCAAUAAUUAAUAUUAAUUUUAUUUAUAUAGUAUAAAAAAAUUAUCAAAGUUUUACGUAAUUUGGAUAUUGCUACACUGUCAAACUUGCAAACGGCUCAUCACAACUAUUAAAAUUGUUGAUUUUGAUCCCUUUGAUUACUAGACAAAUGAUAUUCAAAAAUUACGAAAUUUAUUUUAUAGAUACUUUAAAUGCUCUAUAUCAAAUCUAGUGAAGCCGAUCAUCGAUUCGAAAAUCUCAAUAUCUAAAACGAUUUAAAAAUACGGAGGGCUUCAUGUUUCUAAAUGUAUACUGGCCUAACUCUCUCUCUCUCUCUCUCUCUAU
rnacentral:lncRNA from 1 species